rnacentral:rRNA from 1 species
UUUUAUGGAGAGUUUGAUCCUGGCUCAGGACGAACGCUGGCGGCGUGCCUAAUACAUGCAAGUCGAGCGAACAGAGAAGGAGCUUGCUCCUUUGACGUUAGCGGCGGACGGGUGAGUAACACGUGGGCAACCUACCUUAUAGUUUGGGAUAACUCCGGGAAACCGGGGCUAAUACCGAAUAAUCUAUUUUACUUCAUGGUGAAAUACUGAAAGACGGUCUCGGCUGUCGCUAUAAGAUGGGCCCGCGGCGCAUUAGCUAGUUGGUGAGGUAACGGCUCACCAAG